rfam:Brachypodium distachyon strain Bd21 chromosome 4, whole genome shotgun sequence.
UAUAUAUUCCCUCCGUCCAACAAAAGAUGUCUCAAGUUUGUCAAAAUUUGGAUGUAUCUAGACAUGACUUAAUGUAUAGAUGCAUUCAAAUUUAAUUAAAGUUAAAACAUCCUUUGUUGGACGGAGAAAUAUACU